CAACGCCGCGUGAGGGACGAAGGCCUCUGGGCUGUAAACCUCUUUUCUCAAGGAAGAAGACAUGACGGUACUUGAGGAAUAAGCCACGGCUAAUUCCGUGCCAGCAGCCGCGGUAAUACGGGAGUGGCAAGCGUUAUCCGGAAUUAUUGGGCGUAAAGCGUCCGCAGGCGGCCUUGAAAGUCUGUUGUUAAAGCGUGGAGCUCAACUCCAUUUCAGCAAUGGAAACUACAAGGCUAGAGUGUGGUAGGGGCAGAGGGAAUUCCCGGUGUANCGGUGAAAUGCGUAGAUAU
rnacentral:rRNA from 1 species